CCCUGAGCAGAUCGCUACGGUUUGCAAGCAGUGCUUGAAGGCUUUGGCGUUUUUACACGGGCAAGGUGUCAUACAUCGAGACAUAAAGUCAGACUCUAUUCUUAUGACGGCAGACGGCCGGGUCAAACUGUCAGAUUUCGGCUUCUGCGCUCAAGUUUCUCAGGAACUACCGAAACGGAAGUCGUUAGUAGGAACACCCUACUGGAUGUCACCCGAGGUAAUAUCGAGACUUCCGUAUGGACCCGAAGUGGAUGUGUGGUCCCUCGGGAUCAUGGUCAUAGAGAUGGUUGACG
rnacentral:lncRNA from 1 species